GUCAGAUUUAACAUAUACGUAUUUAUUCAAACUGAACCAAUCAAACCGAUUUUGAAUGUGAAUCAACACAGUAAAUCAUAAAGUCGAUAUCUUCGAUUUUCACGAUAAAAAGAAUUAAAUUCAGAUGUCGAUUUAACACUCAUGUACAUGUUAAACUAAAUAAUUAAAAUACAAUUUAGUGCCAAUAAAAAUAUAAUAUAUGCACGUGAGAGAGGCAAACAGUAGAUAUUUUAAUUUGGAAUACGCAUUUGGUACGGGUUAUUUAUUAUGUUCACUCGAAAUUCAAACUGAAAAU
rnacentral:misc_RNA from 1 species